rnacentral:rRNA from 1 species
UACGUAGGGACCAAGCGUUGUUCGGAAUUACUGGGCGUAAAGCGCAUGUAGGCGGCAGCGCAAGUCGGGCGUGAAAUCCCACGGCUCAACCGUGGAAGUGCACUCGAAACUGCGCAGCUAGAGUCCUGGAGAGGAAGGUGGAAUGCUUGGUGUAGAGGUGAAAUUCGUAGAUAUCAAGCGGAACACCGGUGGCGAAGGCGGCCUUCUGGACAGUGACUGACGCUGAGAUGCGAAAGCGUGGGGAGCAAACAGG